UGGACGCUACUGUUCCUGUGCAAGAACUC
rnacentral:piRNA from 1 species